UGCCCUAGUAACGGCGAGUGAAGCGGCAACAGCUCAAAUUUGAAAUCUGGCUCUCGGGCCCGAGUUGUAAUUUGUAGAGGAUGCUUUUGAUGCGGUGCCUUCCGAGUUCCCUGGAACGGGACGCCAUAGAGGGUGAGAGCCCCGUCUGGUUGGAUGCCAAAUCUCUGUAAAGCUCCUUCGACGAGUCGAGUAGUUUGGGAAUGCUGCUCUAAAUGGGAGGUAUAUGUCUUCUAAAGCUAAAUACCGGCCAGAGACCGAUAGCGCACAAGUAGAGUGAUCGAAAGAUGAAAAGCACUUUGAAAAGAGAGUUAAAAAGUACGUGAAAUUGUUGAAAGGGAAGCGUUUAUGACCAGACUUGGGCUUGGUUAAUCAUCUGGGGUUCUCCCCAGUGCACUUUUCCAGUCCAGGCCAGCAUCAGUUUUCGCCGGGGGAUAAAGGCUUCGGGAAUGUGGCUCUCUCCGGGGAGUGUUAUAGCCCGUUGCGUAAUACCCUGGCGGGGACUGAGGUUCGCGCAUCUGCAAGGAUGCUGGCGUAAUGGUCAUCAACGACCCGUCUUGAAACACGGACCAAGGAGUCGUCUUCGUAUGCGAGUGUUCGGGUGUCAAACCCCUACGCGUAAUGAAAGUGAACGCAGGUGAGAGCUUCGGCGCAUCAUCGACCGAUCCUGAUGUUCUCGGAUGGAUUUGAGUAAGAGCAUACGGGGCCGGACCCGAAAGAAGGUGAACUAUGCCUGUGUAGGGUGAAGCCAGAGGAAACUCUGGUGGAGGCUCGCAGCGGUUCUGACGUGCAAAUCGAUCGUCAAACAUGGGCAUG
rnacentral:rRNA from 3 species